AACGAACGCUGGCGGCAUGCCUAACACAUGCAAGUCGAACGAGACCUUCGGGUCUAGUGGCGCACGGGUGCGUAACGCGUGGGAACCUGCCCUUAGGUUCGGAAUAACUCCCCGAAAGGGGUGCUAUACCGGAUAAUGUCUUCGGACCAAAGAUUUAUCGCCUUUGGAUGGGCCCGCGUUGGAUUAGCUAGUUGGUAGGGUAAAAGCCUACCAAGGCGACGCUCCAUAGCUGGUCUGAGAGGAUGAUCAGCCACACUGGGACUGAGACACGGCCCAGACUCCUACGGGAGGCAGCAGUGGGGAAUAUUGGACAAUGGGCGAAAGCCUGAUCCAGCAAUGCCGCGUGAGUGAUGAAGGCCUUAGGGUUGUAAAGCUCUUUUACCCGGGAUGAUAAUGACAGUACCGGGAGAAUAAGCUCCGGCUAACUCCGUG
rnacentral:rRNA from 1 species